rnacentral:misc_RNA from 1 species
GAUGAAGAACGUAUCGAAAUGCGAUAAGUAAUGUGAAUUGCAGAAUUCAGUGAAUCAUCGAAUCUUUGAACGCACAUUGCGCCCCCUGGCAUUCCGGGGGGCAUGCCUGUUCGAGCGUCAUUACAACCCUCAAGCUCUGCUUGGUAUUGGGCUCUGCUGGGACCGGCAGGCCUUAAAAUCAGUGGCGGCGCCACUCGGCUUCAAGCGUAGUAAUUCUUCUCGCUUCGGAGACCCGGGUGCGUGCUAGCCAGCAACCCCCAACUUUCUUAGGUUGACCUCGGAUCAGGUAGGGAUACCCGCUGAACUUAAGCAUAUCAAUAAGCGGAGGA